AAAAACAUUUCCUCUUGGUAUAAGAGGUAAGGCCUGCUCACUGACUAGGUUGAAGAGCCGCAGUAUAUUGACUGUGCUAAGGUAGCAUAAUCAUUAGUCCUUUAAUUGGGGACUGGUAUGAAUGGCUAAACGAGAAAUUAGCUUUCUUUGUUAUGGUUUGUUGAAUUUAACUUGUAAGUGAAAAGGCUUACAUGAUUCAGAAAGACGAGAAGACCCUAUAGAGUUUUACAAAGGCCUAAAAUACAGCUUAUUAGUUUUUAAGGGUUAUAUUUUGGAAAUUUGUUUGGUUGGGGCGACAUAAAGAUAAAAAAAACUCUUUGUAGUAUAAACUUUGGUGGAAGAAAAGGUUUGAUCCUCUAAAAGGGAUUAUAAGAAAAAAUUACCUUAGGGAUAACAGCGUAAUCUUCUUUUAGAGUUCAAAUCGACAAGAAGGUUUGCGACCUCGAUGUUGGACUAAAAUUUGGGCAAGGUGCAGCAGCUUUGUUUUUGGGUCUGUUCGACCCGUAAUAUUUUACAUGAUCUG
rnacentral:rRNA from 1 species